UACGUAGGGGGCAAGCGUUAUCCGGAUUUACUGGGUGUAAAGGGAGCGCAGACGGCCAAGCAAGUCUGAAGUGAAAUGCAUGGGCUCAACCCAUGAAUUGCUUUGGAAACUGUUAGGCUUGAGUGUCGGAGAGGUAAGCGGAAUUCCUAGUGUAGCGGUGAAAUGCGUAGAUAUUAGGAGGAACACCGGAGGCGAAGGCGG
rnacentral:rRNA from 1 species